rnacentral:rRNA from 1 species
GACGAACGCUGGCGGCGUGCUUAACACAUGCAAGUCGAACGGAAAGGCCCUUCGGGGUACUCGAGUGGCGAACGGGUGAGUAACACGUGGGUGAUCUGCCCUGCACUUUGGGAUAAGCCUGGGAAACUGGGUCUAAUACCGAAUAGGACCGCAUGCUUCAUGGUGUGUGGUGGAAAGCUUUUGCGGUGUGGGAUGGGCCCGCGGCCUAUCAGCUUGUUGGUGGGGUAAUGGCCUACCAAGGCGACGACGGGUAGCCGGCCUGAGAGGGUGACCGGCCACACUGGGACUGAGAUACGGCCCAGACUCCUACGGGAGGCAGCAGUGGGGAAUAUUGCACAAUGGGCGCAAGCCUGAUGCAGCGACGCCGCGUGAGGGAUGACGGCCUUCGGGUUGUAAACCUCUUUCAGCAGGGACGAAGCGAAAGUGACGGUACCUGCAGAAGAAGGACCGGCCAACUACGUGCCAGCAGCCGCGGUAAUACGUAGGGUCCGAGCGUUGUCCGGAAUUACUGGGCGUAAAGAGCUCGUAGGUGGUUUGUCACGUUGUUCGUGAAAACUCACAACUCAAUUGUGGGCGUGCGGGCGAUACGGGCAGACUAGAGUACUGCAGGGGAGACUGGAAUUCCUGGUGUAGCGGUGGAAUGCGCAGAUAUCAGGAGGAACACCGGUGGCGAAGGCGGGUCUCUGGGCAGUAACUGACGCUGAGGAGCGAAAGCGUGGGGAGCGAACAGGAUUAGAUACCCUGGUAGUCCACGCCGUAAACGGUGGGUACUAGGUGUGGGUUUCCUUCCUUGGGAUCCGUGCCGUAGCUAACGCAUUAAGUACCCCGCCUGGGGGAGUACGGCCGCAAGGCUAAAACUCAAAGAAAUUGACGGGGGCCCGCACAAGCGGCGGAGCAUGUGGAUUAAUUCGAUGCAACGCGAAGAACCUUACCUGGGUUUGACAUGCACAGGACGCCAGUAGAGAUAUUGGUUCCCUUGUGGCCUGUGUGCAGGUGGUGCAUGGCUGUCGUCAGCUCGUGUCGUGAGAUGUUGGGUUAAGUCCCGCAACGAGCGCAACCCUUGUCCUAUGUUGCCAGCGGGUUAUGCCGGGGACUCGUAGGAGACUGCCGGGGUCAACUCGGAGGAAGGUGGGGAUGACGUCAAGUCAUCAUGCCCCUUAUGUCCAGGGCUUCACACAUGCUACAAUGGCCGGUACAAAGGGCUGCGAUGCCGUGAGGUGGAGCGAAUCCUUUCAAAGCCGGUCUCAGUUCGGAUCGGGGUCUGCAACUCGACCCCGUGAAGUCGGAGUCGCUAGUAAUCGCAGAUCAGCAACGCUGCGGUGAAUACGUUCCCGGGCCUUGUACACACCGCC